rnacentral:lncRNA from 1 species
AUUGCAAUAGUCCAGUGUGGAGCAGGAAGGUAGGCUGACAUUUCAGCUGAGCCCAAAGCUAGAGACCACCCGCACUCAUGUGAGCCACACACCCCACCCACGAGCAGGACUGAGGAAUCCAGCAGAACUACUUGCCUCAUUGGACCCCCAAGAGCUGCAAGGAGAAGAAGGCACGAGCAAGCAUGGGAGCCGGGGGUGUCAGAGGGAUGCUGUUGCUGAAAGGAGAAAAGGACUCUGGGAAGACGCUGACAUGAAAGCAGUUUGGCAGUCUCCAUCAUUCCCUUAUCCUCAGCUUACUACACUAGAGACUUUGGGGAAUUUCCCCUCUGAGUGAUAUCUGAGACUUUCUUUUGAUUGUACUGAGUUAUCUUGCUUCCAAUAGGAGAGCUCCUUCACUGUAUUGGCUGGUAUAAAUUCUCAGACGUAUACUUUCUCUGAUUUCUGUUUUGCUAUCAACUUGGAUAAAUGAGUUUCUUCGC